rnacentral:rRNA from 1 species
GACGAACGCUGGCGGCGUGCCUAAUACAUGCAAGUAGAACGCUGAAGGAGGAGCUUGCUUCUCUGGAUGAGUUGCGAACGGGUGAGUAACGCGUAGGUAACCUGCCUGGUAGCGGGGGAUAACUAUUGGAAACGAUAGCUAAUACCGCAUAAGAGUAGAUGUUGCAUGACAUUUGCUUAAAAGGUGCAAUUGCAUCACUACCAGAUGGACCUGCGUUGUAUUAGCUAGUUGGUGGGGUAACGGCUUACCAAGGCGACGAUACAUAGCCGACCUGAGAGGGUGAUCGGCCACACUGGGACUGAGACACGGCCCAGACUCCUACGGGAGGCAGUAGUAGGGAAUCUUCGGCAAUGGACGGAAGUCUGACCGAGCAACGCCGCGUGAGUGAAGAAGGUUUUCGGAUCGUAAAGCUCUGUUGUAAGAGAAGAACGAGUGUGAGAGUGGAAAGUUCACACUGUGACGGUAUCUUACCAGAAAGGGACGGCUAACUACGUG